ACAGAUAGAGAACACAGUGUCCCUGUCAUGGUUCCCUUUUUCGAUACAGAACCCUAAAGAUGAUGAAAGAUUAAACAUUAUUGCGGUUGUAAAAAUAAUUGAAAAAGAAAGGCCGAUUACAAGCCGAUUACGAUAAUUCCGAUAAGAUUGUUCUACAAUCUAGAGUUGAAGUCAUCACUCAAAAUUGUUGCUUAUAAAAGUCAAUUCGAAAUCUAUUAAUUUUACGUCGGGUUUUAACUGUAAAUCAAAUAGGUAUCGCACGAUCUUUUGGCGAGUCAUUAUUGUAAAAUUGGCAAUUGAUUCGAUUAUGAACCAGUUUAGCGUUUUUGUAAAUAAUUCCGACUUUAAAACUAAAAUCGAUUAAGUGCCGAUUUCACCAACGUCGAGUGACUUCUAACCGAGGAAUAAAUUGAGCGUAAUGACACUUUUUGAACUGA